rnacentral:ncRNA from 1 species
GUCUGAAAAAGGCAAACGUUUCGAAAGAGACGGGCGCAAAGUUGCGGGCCUAAGGCGAAAGCUAUGGCAGUCGGACUACCAGG